rnacentral:rRNA from 1 species
UGAUGGCGAGUGGCGAACGGGUGAGUAAUACAUCGGAACGUGCCCUGUAGUGGGGGAUAACUAGUCGAAAGAUUAGCUAAUACCGCAUACGACUGAGGGUGAAAGUGGGGGACCGCAAGGCCUCAUGCUAUAGGAGCGGCCGAUGUCUGAUAGCUAGUUGGUGGGGUAAAGGCCCACCAGGCGACGAUCAGUAGCUGGUCUGAGAGGACGAUCAGCCACACUGGGACUGAGACACGGCCCAGACUCCUACGGGAGGCAGCAGUGGGGAAUUUUGGACAAUGGGCGAAAGCCUGAUCCAGCAAUGCCGCGUGUGUGAAGAAGGCCUUCGGGUUGUAAAGCACUUUUGUCCGGAAAGAAAUGGCUCUGGUUAAUACCUGGGGUCGAUGACGGUACCGGAAGAAUAAGGACCGGCUAACUACGUGCCAGCAGCCGCGGUAAUACGUAGGGUCCAAGCGUUAAUCGGAAUUACUGGGCGUAAAGCGUGCGCAGGCGGUUGUGCAAGACCGAUGUGAAAUCCCCGAGCUUAACUUGGGAAUUGCAUUGGUGACUGCACGGCUAGAGUGUGUCAGAGGGGGGUAGAAUUCCACGUGUAGCAGUGAAAUGCGUAGAGAUGUGGAGGAAUACCGAUGGCGAAGGCAGCCCCCUGGGAUAACACUGACGCUCAUGCACGAAAGCGUGGGGAGCAAACAGGAUUAGAUACCCUGGUAGUCCACGCCCUAAACGAUGUCAACUAGUUGUUGGGGAUUCAUUUCCUUAGUAACGUAGCUAACGCGUGAAGUUGACCGCCUGGGGAGUACGGUCGCAAGAUUAAAACUCAAAGGAAUUGACGGGGACCCGCACAAGCGGUGGAUGAUGUGGAUUAAUUCGAUGCAACGCGAAAAACCUUACCUACCCUUGACAUGCCACUAACGAAGCAGAGAUGCAUUAGGUGCUCGAAAGAGAAAGUGGACACAGGUGC